CCUACGGGAGGCAGCAGUGGGGAAUUUUGGACAAUGGGCGAAAGCCUGAUCCAGCAAUGCCGCGUGAGUGAAGAAGGCCUUCGGGUUGUAAAGCUCUUUUGUCAGGGAAGAAACGGUGAGGGCUAAUAUCCUUCGCUAAUGACGGUACCUGAAGAAUAAGCACCGGCUAACUACGUGCCAGCAGCCGCGGUAAU
rnacentral:rRNA from 1 species